CUUCUCGCAGAGGCUCUUGACCUGGGACUGGGACAGCUGCUCACACUCGGUCAGCUGCUCCAUCCACUGGU
rnacentral:miRNA from 1 species